rnacentral:rRNA from 1 species
UACGUAGGGUGCGAGCGUUAAUCGGAAUUACUGGGCGUAAAGCGUGCGCAGGCGGUUCGCUAAGACCGAUGUGAAAUCCCCGGGCUUAACCUGGGAACUGCAUUGGUGACUGGCGGGCUAGAGUGUGGCAGAGGGGGGUGGAAUUCCACGUGUAGCAGUGAAAUGCGUAGAGAUGUGGAGGAACACCGAUGGCGAAGGCAGCCCCCUGGGCCGAUACUGACGCUCAGGCACGAAAGCGUGGGGAGCAAACAGG